GUGCGGAGCUCUGACGAUGACGGGCUCAGAGGAGUGGAUGGAUCGAACCGGCUCGACUUUGGACUCCACCACAGUUUUUACAAAACUGGUCCAAUCAAACUGCAGACAGUCAGACGAGGAAACACAUACAGAAGGAAAUUGCUGCUGCGGUAAGAGAAGCUUUCAGAUGACAAGUAUAAGGGCUGAGAGAUGAAGCAGAAACUCACCGCCAGGGCAGAGGAAGAGUUGGUGGUGUAGUCUUCCCUCGAGGGCAGAGACAAGGAUGCCUGAUCGAGCUACAUGAGGACAGAGAGCACAGAAAUACCAGUGAACUGCGGAUGUCUGACCUUGAUGAUGUAGUGUGAGGAGUUUUUGUCAUCGGGGGACACGUACAGUCGGAUCAGGACGCUCUUACUGUGCUGGUUCCUCAUCUCGG